GUCAGUUUUCAAGGGAGAAUUUCCGCUGUUUGUACCUACUAAAAGACUUUUAAAUGGUGUUCUAACUCUCGCAUAUUUUUAUUGUCUUUUUUUUUUUGCAACUUUCAUUUGCUUAUUUGUGCGUAUUUUUACUAACGUAUAUUAACCAGUAUGCUAAUUUAAUGUGAUUAGGUACGACACACUUUGUGAAUACAUAAUACAUCAUAUAUACUGACUGUAUGUCCUCUUACAGUGAGUCGCCUCGGCAGCGAGCGCAGCGCCGGCCCCAGCCGCAGCCCCAGCCCGCACAGCCCCCACUCGCGUCUAUACCGCCCCCACUACAGAGUGGAGCCGUCAUACUCCGGCGCGAGCGCGUCCAGUCGCCACACGUACGCGUGAGACACGCCUGACCCACAGCGGCUGGCUGGUCGGCGAGAGUGAUGUGCCGCUCAAUAUGGACCCCUCUCUCUGAGUGAGACACUGAACUAUUGAAGUGUUACUUGGUAAUAGGUGUGCGGUCAAAAUAUUAGAAAAUUCAUUGAAAAUGCCCUUUGAGGAAUGUUUUUAUGCCAUCAGAAGCUAAAGUAAAUAUAAACUUAUGAAUAGUCUCCAACAAGUAAAAUCGUUUAGUGUCCAUUAAAAUGUGCUAUAUCUUAAUCUGACUAGCUGUUUCCCAUAUUGAGGUCAACUUCCAGUCUAACCGGACCACUAACGUCACUUUUCUAAGUUUGCAUGUACUUUCUAAGUAUAUCUUGGACACCAAUGACUGAUUAAAGGUGAAGGAAAACAUCCCGAGGAAACUUGGACUAUAAAGUGUGAAAUCACCAACUUUUAUUUGGCUCAAUCCUUCUCAGUAUAAGAGAAGGCUUGUGUAUAGCUGUGGGACAGUAAAAAGGCUAAUGAUAAUGAUUAUAAAGGUACUUUGAAAUCUAUUAUUUUGACUGCACACCAUAUCGAUCGCGUACUCGUCACCACUGCAGCGCUGUGUUCCAUUUCUCUAGAGACAGAGAGAGUCUCUGCCCCCUCCCCUCCCUCUCUACGUCCCCUCUCUCCUCCCAGUCCUAUGAUCUCAUCAUAUAAGUCAACUAUACUUUAUGUAGUAUUUAACUUGAUUAGAAUUUACAGUGUCAAAGUUGAGGUAAUAUUGGGAAUUAUUGAUCAAAUAAAGAAAGAAAAUAUAUAAAACAUCCGAAUUGAGAACUUCCUUCUCGGGGAAGUCGGUUAAAAAUAAAGAAAUUACAAAAUAUUGGACAAAAAAAUACGAAUUACACUAGGAAAUACAAUAACGGGAAAUAUGUGUCACACCCCACGUGAAACGGCCCUCGCUCAGCAUAAGACUCUAUACGGGACAAAAUCCUCAUCAUCGCUGAUUUUCAGCGAGAGCCGAAAUUUUAAAUAUCAAGUUUUACCUUAAAUUAAGUCAAAUGUAUUAGAAAUAGAAAUAAUUACAGUUCUGUUAGAAUCUGUCAUUCUAAUCAAGUCAAAUAUUACAGAGUAUAAUAUACUGUAUUAUAUAGACAACGUAAGUUCAUAUAAAUUGUUAAAAUUAAGAGUAAGUUACACCAUUUUACUAUAACGAUAACCGAACCAUGCCCAGCCGUAUACUUGCCGCGCAUUGCUCACAUCGGCGCUUUGAGUGAAAAUGGUUCGGUUAUCGUUAUAGUUAAAUGGUGUAGGUCACCGUAAGACUAUUGGUAAUUAAAUAUGGACUUUGCUAACAAUAUUGCUUUAUAUUACUUGCGUUUGAAAGAUAUGCUAAAAAAUUCGCUGUUUUCAAUUAAAAUUCAUGUCUAGCACCAAAUAACUUUGCAAUUCCGAAAUUUGAAGCGUCUCGCAAUUUUAAGAAGGGUUUUGUUAAUUUUUUUGACUAUGACCUAGAGGGUAAAACAACCUUUCAAGUAUGAGCCUGGGUUCGAUUCCUGGUCAGGUAAGUACCAAUGCAAAUUUUCUAAGUUCGUAUGUACUUUAUAAGUGUAUCUUGGUCACCAAUGACUGUGUUUCAGAAUUGCAAAGUUAUUCUUCUUCUUUCGUGUCGAUGACAUGUCAUAUAUUGAGAUUACACUAUGUCAGCCCAAUAUGCCGCCACAGCGAGAGCACGGCCGGAUGCGCUCAUUAAGUCCUCCCGCGAGCAAGUUCAGGGCACAAAGUUAUAGUAAGUCAAAGUUAUUUGGGUGAACUGAACUUGAAAUAUUGAAGUAAAAUAAAGCAAUAUUUUUAUAUAAUUCGAGUCUUUAAAUAUACACGGUGGUAUUUUAUUAACACAGGAAUAGAUGUUUUAUUUCACGACAGCGUGUAAGCUAUACAUAGUGUGUGUGUAUGAGUGCGGGUUCGGUCACUACUGAGCGAGCGCACACAUACACACACUAUGUGCAUGUACACGUACACACACAAGGAUGGCUCACACGCUGUCCUAAGGUAUAACAUGUAUAAUAAAAUAUCAUUCGUGUAUAUUGUCGUCAAUAUAAUAAUAUAUCUGUAUAAUAUUAGUAUAUAGUCAAUGUUAUAUAUUCUGAUAAAUAUGUUAUGUUAACAUUUAAAUUGAUCAUAACAGUGUUUAUUGCAAGUUUUCAAAUCUCCCAAGCCUUUUCCCAACUAUGUUGGGGUCGGCUUCCAGUCUAACAGCAUGCAGCUGAGUACCAGCGUCCCACAAGGAGCGACUGCCUAUCUGAUCUACUCAACCCAGUUACCCGGGCAACACAAUACCCCUUUUUACCAUGCUAACACUGAAUAAUGUGAAUUAUUAAAAUAAAAUACUACAUAUUUAUCAUCUCAACUUGCAAUAAACACUUAUAACAGCUCUCGUCGAAUAACUUUGCCGGUCUGAAGUCAGCAAUUUGUCGCCUCGCCCGGUUUCACUGGUUACCGAUACAGUGCCAAUUAGUUAUCUGAUAGUUAAUGCUAUCUGCCAGAUAAAGGCUAAUAAUAAUUUCUGCCAGAUUCUGUUAUCCAAGACCUAGGAAACCAAAAGUUAUAGUUUAUCAAUCAAAUAAGGUAUCAGAGUAUUAUCACUAACUAUGGAUUAUUGCAAACUUCAGACCGGCACAGUUAUUUGACGAACUGUACAAGCUUAUAAGAACUGAAAAAUUGUGUAUUAUAUAGUAAGUAAGAGUUGUGUGUUUGUCACGCGCCACAAGACAAUGGAUAUUACUAUAUGAAGUUAUAUGAACUUGUACAUAAUUAAAUAAUGAUUAUCGUAAGGUAAUUAAUACUCCGGGAUAUGACUGUUUUUUUAAUAAUUUAAAAUUUUAUUUCAAGAAUUUUAAUGUAACUGAUAUCUGUUAAGGAAAUAUGUGAAAAUAAAAAAUUAUUUACAAUCUUCAGAUAAA